CCAGAUGAUCUACUCAUGGCCAGGAUGAAGCGAGGGUAACACCUCGUGGAGGUCCGAACCCACUAAUGUUGAAAAAUUAGGGGAUGAGCUGUGAGUAGGGGUGAAAGGCUAAACAAAUCUGGAAAUAGCUGGUUCUCUCCGAAAACUAUUUAGGUAGUGCCUCAUGUAUCACCUUUGGGGGUAGAGCACUGUUAUGGCUAGGGGGUCAUUGAGACUUACAAACCAUUGCAAACUCCGAAUACCAAAGAGUGCGAGCAUGGGAGACAGACAUCGGGUGCUAACGUCCGGUGUCGAAAGGGAAACAACCCAGACCCUCAGCUAAGGUCCCUAAGACACAAUUAAGUGGGAAACGAAGUGGGAAGGCAUAGACAGUCAGGAGGUUGGCUUAGAAGCAGCCAUCCUUUAAAGAAAGCGUAAUAGCUCACUGAUCGAGUCGUCCUGCGCGGAAGAUGUAACGGGGGC
rnacentral:rRNA from 1 species